rnacentral:lncRNA from 1 species
GACUCCACAUCUCUGGGAUGGUGAGGGAGGCCUACCUUGAACACUCUGUAGGGUUUGGACUGUCAACAUCAAGUGAAAUUUCUCAAGAACCAACAGGAUUGGGGUAAGAAAGUCCCUGCUGGCCCAUGCAGGCACAGGCAUGCACACUGGGGCUGAGGAGAAUUCUGGAAUCAAGGAGGCAGCUGAACAAGACACAGCUGUUUGGAGACCAGCAUUCUGGGGAAGGCCCCUCUCUGUACAGCCCAGGAGGGAAUCUCUGAAUAGUUGCACUCUUGGACUGCGCUCAGUGUUCCUCAUCAGCUGGAGGCCGCAUCAUCAGCUUCAUUUUGUUGCCUCUGUCAUUGUUUUGGAGCCUUAGAGCGUGAACGUGCCUGGCCCCCUGCCAUGGCUGCAGGAGUGGAGCCAGGGUGUGUACUGCAGCCCAGAGGAGGAGCCUCACACUCUUCUGCAAAAAGAUUCCAGGGAGGAAA